AGGUGCUGCAUGGCUGUCGUCAGCUCGUGUCGUGAGAUGUUGGGUUAAGUCCCGCAACGAGCGUAACCCUUGUCUUUAGUUGCCAUUAUUAAGUUAGGCACUCUAAAGAGACUGCCUCGGUUAACGGGGAGGAAGGUGGGGAUGACGUCAAGUCCUCAUGGCCUUUAUAUCCAGGGCUACACACGUGCUACAAUGGGCUGUACAAAGGGUUGCUAUCCCGCGAGGGGGCGCUAAUCCCAAAAAGCAGUUCUCAGUUCGGAUUGAAGUCUGCAACUCGACUUCAUGAAGGUGGAAUCGCUAGUAAUCGUGGAUCAGCAUGCCACGGUGAAUACGUUCCCGGGCCUUGUACACACCGCCCGUCACACCACGAAAGUCGACUGUACCAGAAGUUGCUGGGCUAACCUCUUCGGAGGAGGCAGGUACCUAAGGUACGGCCGGUAAUUGGGGUGAAGUUCAAGCAACAUA
rnacentral:rRNA from 1 species